rnacentral:rRNA from 1 species
AGAGUUUGAUCCUGGCUCAGGACGAACGCUGGCGGCGUGCUUAACACAUGCAAGUCGAACGAAAAGACGGAAAGAGCUUGCUCUUUUCAGAAUUGAGUGGCAAACGGGUGAGUAACACGUAAACAACCUGCCUUCAGGAUGGGGACAACAGACGGAAACGACUGCUAAUACCGAAUAAGUUCCAAGAGCCGCAUGGCCCAUGGAAGAAAAGGUGGCCUCUACCUGUAAGCUAUCGCCUGAAGAGGGGUUUGCGUCUGAUUAGCUGGUUGGAGGGGUAACGGCCCACCAAGGCGACGAUCAGUAGCCGGUCUGAGAGGAUGAACGGCCACACUGGAACUGAGACACGGUCCAGACUCCUACGGGAGGCAGCAGUGGGGAAUCUUCCGCAAUGGGCGAAAGCCUGACGGAGCAACGCCGCGUGAGUGAUGACGGCCUUCGGGUUGUAAAACUCUGUGAUCCGGGACGAAAAGGCAGAGUGCGAAGAACAAACUGCAUUGACGGUACCGGAAAAGCAAGCCACGGCUAACUACGUGCCAGCAGCCGCGGUAAUACGUAGGUGGCAAGCGUUGUCCGGAAUUAUUGGGCGUAAAGCGCGCGCAGGCGGCUUCCCAAGUCCCUCUUAAAAGUGCGGGGCUUAACCCCGUGAUGGGAAGGAAACUGGGAAGCUGGAGUAUCGGAGAGGAAAGUGGAAUUCCUAGUGUAGCGGUGAAAUGCGUAGAGAUUAGGAAGAACACCGGUGGCGAAGGCGACUUUCUGGACGAAAACUGACGCUGAGGCGCGAAAGCGUGGGGAGCAAACAGGAUUAGAUACCCUGGUAGUCCACGCCGUAAACGAUGAUUACUAGGUGUGGGGAGUUGAACCUUUCCGUGCCGGAGUUAACACAAUAAGUAAUCCACCUGGGGAGUACGACCGCAAGGUUGAAACUCAAAGGAAUUGACGGGGGCCCGCACAAGCGGUGGAGUAUGUGGUUUAAUUCGACGCAACGCGAAGAACCUUACCAGGUCUUGACAUUGAUCGCGAUCUGCAGAAAUGCGGAGUUCUUCUUCGGAAGACGAGAAAACAGGUGGUGCACGGCUGUCGUCAGCUCGUGUCGUGAGAUGUUGGGUUAAGUCCCGCAACGAGCGCAA